rnacentral:rRNA from 1 species
GAUGAACGCUGGCGGCGUGCCUAAUACAUGCAAGUCGAGCGAACAGACCAGGAGCUUGCUCCUCUGACGUUAGCGGCGGACGGGUGAGUAACACGUGGAUAACCUACCUAUCAGACUGGUAUAACUUCGGGAAACCGGCUCUAAUACCAGAGAAUAUAUUGAUCCGCAUUGUUCAAUAGUAAAAUACGGCUGUGCUGUCUCUUCUAGCGGGAUCUGGGCCGCUUUGGCUAGUUGGUAAGUUCACGGCUUAUCAAGGCGAGGAUGCGUAAACGAACGGAGAGGGUGGUCGGCCACACUGGAACGGAGACAGGGUCAAGACUCCUACGGGAGGCAGCAGUAGGGAAUCUGCCGCAGUGGGCGAGAGCAUGACGGAGCGACGCCGCGUGAGUGAUGAAGGUCUUCGGAGCGUGAAGCUCGGUUAUUAGGGAAGAACCACUGUGUAAGUAACUAUGCACGUCUUGACGGUAACUAAUCAGAAAGCCACGGCUAACUACGUG